AGUGAACGCUGGCGGUAGGCCUAACACAUGCAAGUCGAACGGCAGCACAGUAAGAGCUUGCUCUUACGGGUGGCGAGUGGCGGACGGGUGAGGAAUACAUCGGAAUCUACUUUUUCGUGGGGGAUAACGUAGGGAAACUUACGCUAAUACCGCAUACGACCUACGGGUGAAAGCAGGGGAUCUUCGGACCUUGCGCGAUUGAAUGAGCCGAUGUCGGAUUAGCUAGUUGGCGGGGUAAAGGCCCACCAAGGCGACGAUCCGUAGCUGGUCUGAGAGGAUGACCAGCCACCCUGGAACUGAGACACGGUCCAGACUCCUACGGGAGGCAGCAUUGGGGAAUAUUGGACAAUGGGCGCAAGCCUGAUCCAGCCAUACCGCGUGGGUGAAGAAGGCCUUCGGGUUGUAAAGCCCUUUUGUUGGGAAAGAAAAGCAGCAGGUUAAUACCCCGCUGUUCUGACGGUACCCAAAGAAUAAGCACCGGCUAACUUCGUG
rnacentral:rRNA from 1 species